UACAGAGGGUGCGAGCGUUGUCAGGAAUCACUGGGCGUGAAGGGCGCGUAGGCGGAUCGGUAAGCGUGCGGUGAAAGCCCGGGGCUCAACCCCGGGUCGGCCGUGCGAACUGCAGAGCUGGAGCACUGUAGAGGCAGGUGGAAUUCCGGGUGUAGUGGUGAAAUGCGUAGAGAUCCGGAGGAACACCAGUGGCGAAGGCGGCUCGCUGGGCUUUACCUGACGCUGAGGCGCGAAAGCGUGGGGAGCGAACCGG
rnacentral:rRNA from 1 species